rnacentral:rRNA from 1 species
GACGAACGCUGGCGGCGUGCUUAACACAUGCAAGUCGAGCGACGCUCUUCCUUCGGGGAGAUGACGGAGCGGCGAACGGGUGAGUAACACGUGGGCAACCUGCCCCUAGCUCUGGGACAACACCGGGAAACCGGUGCUAAUACCGGAUACGACAUCGAGCGGCAUCUCUCGAUGUGGAAAGGUUUUUCGGCUAGGGAUGGGCCCGGGGCCUAUCAGCUUGUUGGUGGGGUAAUGGCCCACCAAGGCGACGACGGGUAGCCGGCCUGAGAGGGCGACCGGCCACACUGGGACUGAGACACGGCCCAGAAUCCUACGGGAGGGAGCAGUGGGGAAUAUUGCGCAAUGGGCGAAAGCCUGACGCAGCCACGCCGCGUGAGGGAUGACGGCCUUCGGGGUGUAAACCUCUUUCAGCAGGGACGAAUUCAGACGGUACCUGCAGAAGAAGCACCGGCCAACUACGUG